rnacentral:siRNA from 1 species
CUAAUUUAUGUGCUUGUGAACA